UACGGAGGGUGCGAGCGUUGUUCGGAAUCACUGGGCGUAAAGGGCGUGUAGGCGGUCCGCUAAGUCUGAUGUGAAAGCCCGGGGCUCACCCCCGGAAGGGCAUUGGAAACUGGCGGACUCGAGUCCCGGAGAGGAAGGUGGAAUUCCUGGUGUAGCGGUGAAAUGCGUAGAUAUCAGGAAGAACACCAAUGGCGAAAGCAGCUCUCUGGGACGGUACUGACGCUGAGACGCGAAAGCGUGGGGAGCGAACAGG
rnacentral:rRNA from 1 species